CUAUUUAACAGCCAUAAUGCUUAACUUGACAUUAGGUAUCUAUCCUGCCGCUACAACUAGCUUGUAUGCUCCUAGAGAAGAGAAGCCAUGUCUGUUUGCAUACCCACUAAUUCAGAUUGGUGCCGUGUAUACGAGGGUUGGUAAUAUUUUCUACAUCAUUGUCAGGUGUUUAUCUAAAUAAAGUGGUAGCCGUGUAUAACUGAGCAUUGAGUUUCUGGCUUAGGGAAAUGAAGCAGAUGAUCCCUGCAUAGAGUGCCUGCCAUUCCUUUUCUCUCUUGGCUAUUGCGCAUAGAGGUAGGUCUUCACUACCUGCACCCGCAGAACAGAGCUGAGAAUCCAAAACUGUGAUUACUUCAGAAUACAUUUUGGGUUUUCUUUGUGUGUUGUUGAAGAUGGACUUUCCACCUGUGAAUGCACUUUAAGAUGAGUACUGUCUCCUCAUGAAGAGUUAUGUCCAUGUCCUUAUCUGCACUCGUGGUUUGCACCCUUUCCUGGGAACAGAUGCCUAAGGGACACACUCCUCAGGAAACCAGAAUCUACAUCUCAGAAGGUUUUUCCCAAGACUGUUAUAAAGAAAAUAGUGAUGUUUAGAAUAUAAGUGAAAAAAUAGCAAUUUUGAGAAAUAGCAGUAGACUUCAAAUAAAAAUAUGAACAGUUUAGAUAACUUAAUUGUGACUCGGGGAAAAUAUGUUAAUAUAGGGAUACUGAUUUAUUUACUUUUCACUUUUCAAUGUACUGUAAAUAUUUUGUUUUACCUUUGUUUCUAACAAGAUUUAAGAUAGAUUUUCCAAUAAAGAUAAAAUAUAAUGAAUAUGAAUAAGUGAUAAUGAAAAAAAAACAAUUUGGUUCAUAUGCCAUUGACCAGAUUUGGUCUGACUUUUGGAAUUUAAAACUAACUCUUCUUUUCUUUUUAGGUUGCCUCUUGGUGCUGCUUUGGCCGUAUUUGGCACCCAGAAUGCUUCAUUCUGUCAUGGUCUAUUAAUAAGGUUACCUUGCUAGAGUUUGGAGCAGGGGCUCAGGUAGGUGGCUUUUAUCAUUAUAUGGCAUGGCUUUCAAAGUGAUCAAUCACUCCAGUUUCUAAAUAACAUAAGAUAAAAUAUUAAAGCUUUGAAAAGCAUGCCACAUAAUAAGCAUGCCACUUACUGUCUUAAGGUCUGUCUAUACAUAUUGUGUGCAGUAGGACUUCAUUAAUAGUUACAGUCUGAUGGAAGGAUUGGAAUACUGACAAGGAACAGUCUUCCUUACUCUGCACAAAAUGCAUAACUGCUUAAAUAAGAACUUAUUUAAUCAUGUCCUCAAAUAGCCCACAGGUGAACUCUUAAGCUCUUCUUUCUCAGGACCCUGCUCAGAGUAAUUAUCCCAUGUUACCACUAUAUCUCUUUCUGCUACUGGGAAAGAUCUGCUUAUCUAUAAGCAGGUGGGGAGGAAGGCUAGCUUUGCUUGCCGGGAUGGGGCAGGUACUAAAACAAGGAGCUCAGUGGGUCAACAGCAGUUUGUUAGCGCUUGUUGGAAAGAGGACAUACACAGGCAUCUAGAUUUCCCAGCCUGUAGAUGCAGCUCAGUGGCACAGAAUCUAGGUGUAGCAAUACUUGGAAAUAAAUACACAUGGAUUUCGCUUCAGGUAAGUCUCAGCAGGGCCUCCAGACACAGGAUUGAGGUUUAGAGGCCAGGACUGUCAGCCCUAGGGUGGGAAGACUGGUAAAAACAAAGAUGGCUGUGACAAGUGCCAGAGGAUGGGCUCAAACUCUACCGACGGUAGGCAGGGCCUCACAGUCUACAUGAAUAGAGCUUUAUAAUCAAAUAAAAGGUACAUUGAUUAACCUGAUUAAAACUCUCUAAUCACAGCAUUCUAUGGAGAUUAAGUAUAAAAUCAACUUAGCAUAACUUUUUUGGUCACUUGUAUAUUAUAAAUAUUUUUUAAAUGUAUGAAAAGAUGUUAAUGGUUUUUUAGUGUUUCAAGUUACAGAUAUUUUUUUUCUUUUUCUACUUCAUUGUAGUUUUUAAACUUGUUUUAACGAAGCUGGUUUUUUGGCAGCCAGGAAAAGAAAAAAGUUUUAUUUCUUUUACUUAGUCAACUACAUUUACAUAGAUUUUCUCUCUUGAUUUCUCUUGUAUAUGCAAUCAGUCAAAGGUUUUCUCUGAUAUUUUCAAUGUCCUCCUCACAUUUUAAUUCACAUGAACACAUCCUCUUUAAAGAUUUUGAAUUUGACUUUGUCCCUUUUUCCGUCCCAUAAAACUUCAUUGGCUAUUUCCAAAUGGUAAAUUGUUAUCAGUAGAGGUGACAUGUGCUUAAGGAGAUAUGAAACAGAACGUUUGAAAACACAAAUGUUCUGAAAAAUGCCGACCAACUAAGUGCUGCCCAGUGUGUUUCUGUGCUUGUCAGGAUGCCUGCAGGCCUCUGAGCAGCAUGUGCCCAUCUCCCUAGUUUCUGACAUCCACUGACAGAAACAGGACAGACUCCAGGUGGUCGUGAUGCUCCCCUGAAUUUCCACCCCUCUGUCAAAACAAACAUUUCAUUCUGUGAGGUUUGUCUUCUAAGCUUGCAUUAAACCAGCUUGAGAUUCCAGGAACCCCAAAAUGUGUUUACCUGCUUGUUUUGAUUCCUAAAAUUCUUUUAAGGGACUAUAGUUAUGUUCAACAGAUAUUUAUCAAAUGUCUACUGCAUGCCAGGUCCCUGACCAGGUGCUGGAGAUAUAAAGAUGAAUAGUAGUCUCCCUGCAGGUGAAUUUACAAUCCUGCAGGAGAGACAGGGGAUUUCAAGAAGAGCUUUACAGUCCGUAUUUUAGAGGUAAAAGGCUCAGAGAGGUAAAGUUCUGAAGUUCAUUCUUGCUCAAGUAAAAUUAAAAUUGGUCAAAGAAUAUGAUUGUCAAAUCUCUUCUACUUGUGACAGCUGGAGGAAUGCAUGGGUCCUCUGCAAGUGGAACAGGGAGUAGCCACCCCUGACUUGACAAUUUUGCAUAGAACUGACCCAUUUGCCUUCAAUUAUGUGGAAAUAAAUACAGGUGGUUGUCUCCACAGUGAUUUUGUCCUGGACAGCCACAUAGGCAUAACUCGGGGAGGACAGAGUCAUGGCAUGUAUGGCGCCUUCCCAGGAUGUGGGUUCUGCUUCCAUUGGAUUGUUUAGUGCUACUAAAGAUUUUCCACACACACUUAACAUUCAUACUUCAUGUAUAGCAUAGCACAAGCCUAUAUUUAAAGUGCACUUUACUUUGAGAUGGCUUAAAACUAAUUCUCUGCAUGAGCUUUUAUAAUUAAGGAAAACCGUCUUUCCUCAUUACUUUGUCUUAAUGUGUAUUAUUUCUGCCUUUUCAUUUGAAUUUAUAGACAGAUUCAGUAUGAGUGCUUGGUGAGUUCUAACAUGAAACCUGGAUUAUGCUGUAUUUGUAAUUUUAAUAGCAUUAGACAGUUAACCAUAAAUGAAUGGAGACAUGUCCUCCAAGUGUUUAGGAUUCUUCAGUGUGAACAUGUUUAUAGUUGGUAUUAAGCAUUUUUAUUGUAGCCCCAGCAAUUUAAGGGGUCAGUGGUACUAAAAAUAAAAACAAGUCUGCAAUUUGGAAACUACGCAACUUUCAGAUUGAGAUGAUUUGUGAGCUGCAUACUUUAUAAUCCUAGCCAGAGCACUAAUAUUUUGGAAAUGCUUUAUACAAAAAAACAACAACAACAACAAAAAACAGACAAAACCAGGAAAACUUCUAAAAAAUGGUUUAAGUUUUCAUUAAGCAGUCCUAGUUUGUAUAAAGAUAUAAUUGCGACUUAUUGCUCUCUCAUACAUCAUUGCUUCCCUCUUGCACCAUUUGUCUUUCAUUUCUUGUUUGCAAAUACUAACUGCCCUAUGUGAAGAAAAUGAAAACACCCCUGAUGUACCACUCAUCUGUAUUUUUUCAUUUUAUUUUGAUAAGAAUAUACAACCAAAGGGGGGAAAUCCCCCACGUAGUGGUUAAAAUGAAAUGCUAACUUCUAAGUUAUAGACCUUUAAAAGAGAGUUUCUAAAAGGAAAGAAACCUUUUUAGCCUAAACAUUUUUGCUCUAUAAAAUAAUUAACCAAGGAAAAUAUUUCUGAAUUGGAAGAUAAAAUUUAUUUAAAUACUCCAUCAUCAUCAGAGUGUCUGUUCAUUCUCUCUGGGCACUCAACAAAACCAUACCCAGGUUUAAGGUGGCCCCAAAAGGAACAUCCUAAUUUACAGAUAAGAAAACUGACAUUAGAUUUUGUUGGUUCUGCUUUGGUGGAAUUCAUUGAUUUUUUUUUCCCCUGUUGGUUCUUAAAAUCAAAUGCUUCUGCUAUUUUCCUUCACUUCUCUGUUUGCUUUUUAUUUGUAUAUUAGAUAUAAGGCUUUCUAAAUAUCAGUUAAGGCUAAAUUUUAAUGGUAAAUUUCAAAAGGGUUAUCUUAGAUGUGCAUUUUAAUGAAUUGCUCAAACGUUGAAAAUAUCAAAUACAGCAAUUCAAAGAAGGCACCCCUGUUUUUAAUUAAUUUUAGUUAACUAGGACACCCACUAUAGGAAACUAAGUGCUGAAUUUUCAGUAUUCCAAGUAUAAGAUGAGUUAGCUCCAGCUUUGGCGGGUCAGGCGCAGACCCAGUGCUUUGCUGUCUCCUGCUUUGCAGUGGGCACUCCAGCUCCUUUCUCUUCUCCUCUUGAGACAUCAGCAGCCCUGUCUAACCAGCUAAUCAUCCAGCCAUCCUUCGUGCUCCAUGCCAGGCAUGGAUGCAGGGACUAGGCAUGUUUUCACUUCAGAAAUUUUUAUUUGGAAUGGGAACCAAAUUGAUAUUAUCUUCUUGUACUAAUUGAUUCCUUAGCAAUAAGAUCAAUGAGAGAAGGCUUGUUUUCUGAAACAAAACAAAUAUUUUUAGACAGCUCUUAUUACAGUUGCUAUUGUUUCAAUCUAAGACUUUACAAAGCUAAGUUUCAAAAAUGCCUUUCUAGUGGCAUUUAGUUUGUUGAACCAAAUUGCAGCCAUACUGUUUUAUUUUUUACUUGAACAUAGAUGUGUAUAUUCUAUCCUGGGUCCACUAUAGUGACUGAGCAAGACUAUAUUUCAUUUGCUGGAAAACACUUGCCCUCCUUUAAUUAUUUGCAUUCAUUCACCAAAAAUUUUACUUUUAUGAGAAACAGCAGUGAAUAAAACUGGCACAGCUCCUGCCCCAGUGCUGCCUACAAUCUAUUUUUAAUUCUAAGAUAUUUUACAGUUACAAGAUAUUUUUUUCCUUUUAUUCUUUAAUAAGUAAUUUUACAGUCCUGCAAAAAUUGAGUACUGUAAAAAUUUCCACAUUACUAUAUAGGAUCAAAAAAAUAUUUCUAAGUAUGCUGUUGCUCUUCAAUUAUAUUAUCUUGUUAAUAAUCUAUUUCACAUUAUUCAAAGCUUUAUUGUGUCUUACAUAUGUAAAUUAAAGUAUUAACUACUGGUAAGUUUCCUUUUGCUACCUACUUAUUUACUCUAUAUGAAAAACAUGUUUCAAGCAAAUGUUGACAUUUUCUGAAUUGUUUUCUAAUGGUGUUUUAUGAUUAGCAUAAAGGAGACUAAAGCUUUGAUUAUGAAUGACAUUUGCCCUUAAUUAGCAAAGUAUAUGUUUGACUUUUAACAUAAAUAUGAAGGAAUUAUUGAUGCAGGUAAGUGUUGUAAAAAUUCACAGCUAGUAGAGAAUGACUUUCAGAACUGUGGCAUUUUAAGUAUAGAAACAGUUUCAAUAGACGUCUCUUCCUUUGCCAGCAUCCUCAUAGGAAUUUGUUUUAGUAGACCCUUGAUGUGUGAUUCAUUUUCACUUGUUAUUUUUCUGUGAGUCACUGUUUUAAAAUGUAAAACAUGGAAGAUAAGCCUGUGCACACACAAUAUCCCCUUUAAUUAUUAUUUUUAUGUAUGCAAAGUUGCCCUAGGAAUAAAUGCCUGUCCUGGUAUCAGCAAAACCUAGAAGGGUAUUCUGAAGUGCUGUUUCAUCUUAGGGUAGUUUGAAAUGGUUAUAUGUACAGUUUCUACCUUGUUUCACAAUUCUUCAGAUCAAGCUAAGGUGAACUUUAAUAAUUUGAAAAGCAUAGUAACCAAUGUUUAAUAUGUAAAAAGAAAGAGUACGAAUUUUGUUGUGCACUUUUCAGAAGAGUAGUCACUGUUUUCCUUUUUAAAUGUUUUUUAAUCCUAUAAAAGAAUACACAAAUAAUUUUAGUUGACAUUUUAGUUAUAGGUUUAUAUAAAUGCACACUAUAUUUUUUUAUGUUUAUUAUACUAGGCCAAAUAAUAAUGAACUCUAACCAGCUCCUAGUUUCUUUUGUUUAGGGAAAUAAUUAGCAGUCCUUUGAAAUUAUUUGGCCACUUAUAAGAACUCAAAAUAGUUAGGUCAAAUUUAGGGAAGUUAUCGUAAUAUUGGAAUUAUGUUUUGUGAUAAAAUGAACGAAAAUGAUCGCUUUAUUUGUGAUUUCAUUUCAGACUAUAAAAUAUGUAACAGGUAAUUUAGACCUGUAAUAUUUCAACUCAAGAUGUUUAAUUUUAAAGUAUAUUGAAAUACUUCUACUCUAAAGGAUUUUUAUAAAUGCCAAUGGACAGUAAGCAUAAAUAAAAUUUUUAUGAAUGUAUUUGAGAUGCAGUAAAAAUUAUGUUGGUCAGGAAAAGAAGAAAGAAUAUAUGAUUUGUUGUUUACUAGUCAACUUUGGUUUUAGAUUUUUUCCUACCCAAAUCACUAUCCAUUAGACAAUUAUACUAGUCAUUAUUUUGACUGUUACUUAUAUUAUUUAAAAUUUACUUUGCAAACUGUCUUUAUUAAAAGAAGCCUUUUAAAUCGUAAAUGUAUUUUCCUUGGGGGAUCAUAUUGGCAGCUCUGAUAGAGAAGAUAGGCACUACCUCCUGUUCUUGUUUUUUAAGUGGAAUGACAGAAUUUAUCUACUUGCAAAUGGGUUUGCCAACUUGCUCUUUUAGAUUGCAUUAGAAUAAGAGUGAAACAGGAGUUUUAGGGCAUAAGCCCCUGUUUAACCACAAAUACGCUGUCAAGAUGUUCAGCUUCUCUGGGCCUGUCACCUUAAAAUGGCAGUGAUGAUAAAUGUGUCCACCUCUCAGAUCCAUUGAAUUCCAGGGAGGUAAUAGAGAUGGAAACGCUCUACACUUGUAAGGUAUUUAUAUUAUUUAAAUAACAGAAUACACAAAACAGACUCAUAUUCUUAAUUACUCUACCAAACACUCAGUAUGUGCCCUGGGCAAGUAAGUAUUUACAAAGUUAAUUUUAUUAUUUCGCAGUUUUGAUGUGCAGAAUUCAGCUCUUCCAUUUAUGCAUGUCCUUGCUUUACAAAAGAAUGGAGCUUUUGCUUUAACUUUUUAAAUAUCUUUUAUUAGUCUAAAUUUUUACUUUUCUUGUCUUAAACCAUGAGAAUAAUGCUGCUUUCAAAUACACCCUUAGUAUUUUUGUAAUGAUGCUUGAAUGUGCUCUAUUAAAUAUUUUACUUACACAUCAUCAAAUUCUUUAAAUACAUGAAAAUUUGAUUUCAAGGGAAAUUAAUUAGAUUUGUGUUUAGAACAUUAAGUAAUAUUUUCAUUUAUUCUGUCAUUUGGUGAAUCCUUAUUGUAUUUUAGCUAUUUGAUUUAUAUUAUCCCUCUCGAGUUCCUUUAAUCAUGAUUCUGAACAUUCAUCUCUAAAAUACUCAGUUUACUAAGCUCUCUGUGCCCUGUACUCUCUCUAAUAGAUCAUUCCAGUUUUUUCUGCCUGUGAGCACUAUUUUCACACUUACUUGUACAAUCAAAAAUUAUUAACAGUUUUUUUUGUAUACGUGGUCUUAGUCUCCUGAAGAUCAUGCUGCUAAUAGGCAUUUUCAAGAUAUUUUAAGAUUUUUAGCAGUGAACUCUUAAAACCAGAUGAUGCUUUCUUCCUGAUAUCCACUUCUUCUAUAGCAAACCUAUAUUUAAAUUCCCUUGCAUGCUUUUGAAAUAUGAAGAGCACAGAGUUAUUGCUACAUUUCAGCAAUCCUUGCAGCAUUCAGAGAGAUAAAUUGACAGGUAUUGCAGGUAACAAGCCCAAUUGCACAAGCAUGUGCAGUGUGGGCAUGUGAGGUGCUGUCAUCAGGAGGCUGCUGUUCUUUGGUGACGUUCCAUAUGCAUUCCAAGAGAGAACUGAGUUUUUCUCUUCCAUAAUAUUAAGCUUAAUAAAACUUUGAUCCAUUUGAUUUACAAAUAAUAACUCUAAUAUCCAUUUCUCUCAGUAGGCAAGUUAGAUUUAAAAAGUUAAAUUAAAUUUGGGAAAGAAGUAGGGAGUCAUUCAGCAUCACAAAAUGCCAUUUAUGUAGGUAAUACUAUUUUACUCUUUGUUUCUGCAUUUAUUUGGUCGUGUAAAUGUGCUUAGAACUAAUAAAUUUGCAAUUGGUGAAAAUUAAUGCAUGACUUGUCAGCAGAGUAUGGAAUGUAAGCAUGUGCCAUGAAAUUGCAAUUCUUUUAUUCUUUAUUUUCCGUCAUUUACAUAUUGGUUCCGUUUAGAGUGUAGUACAUUCUUAUUUUUUGUUUCAUAGAUUGGCCAAAAUGGGAAGGACUGGAUUCUGCUCUCUUCCACGAAGAGUCAGUGGGACUGGCUAAGAUCAAGGUCUGAGGCUUUUUCCAUCUGUCAUCAGGUAUUGUGCUAUAAGCCAAAAGUCCCACUGGUGUGCUGCACAUGGGUUACAGGUGUGUCAAAGACUGACCCCUCCGCUCUUGGGGAGGCCUGAUGACUCUGGCUCAGUCUGCCCAAUGAACAGAAUCAUUUUCUAUGAUGCGAAAAGCGGUGAGGAAAAUCACUUCGACCAAAUCCUCCUUCCCUCCACAUGACAUGGAGCCAUGAUCCUCACCUAAUGUGACAUCAAAACGCUUUACCAUGUCAGGAAUGCAUAUUUGUUAUGAAGAUAAGUCAUUUCUACUCUUGACUCAGAAAUUCCUCUGCAUGUGAUGACACUGGUAUAAAGAAUAAAUUUUCAUUUUGGGUGAUGCAUUCAACUCUUUCAGGCCUCUGGUGUCUGUGCCUUGAAUAGGUCUUCCAUGGACUAAAUGGUUCACAAGGUGCCUAAAAGAGUUUUCAGUUGCUUAUUUAUAUUUUAUUUUCCUGUAAUAAAGAAUGUGACUAGAGCCAACUUGUACAAAUUAAAAUGAUUUUGACAUUAAAUAUUUGUGGAAACGUUUUUAUGUUCUCAGUCAGAUUUAUGUUCUCUAGUCCCUUGUAAAAUUUGAAGCAUAAUAAAGUCACUUUUAGUGUCAUGUUUUUUGUUUGUUUUUUU